rnacentral:snoRNA from 9 species
GAGCAAUGAUGGAAAGAUUUUACUACUGAUCUUUAUAUCUGUGAAGGUUUCUACACUUAAUCUAAGCUCA